rnacentral:rRNA from 1 species
GUGUUGAGGAAGAUAAUGACGGUACUCAACAAGGAAGUGACGGCUAACUACGUGCCAGCAGCCGCGGUAAAACGUAGGUCACAAGCGUUGUCCGGAAUUACUGGGUGUAAAGGGAGCGCAGGCGGGAGAACAAGUUGGAAGUGAAAUCCAUGGGCUCAACCCAUGAACUGCUUUCAAAACUGUUUUUCUUGAGUAGUGCAGAGGUAGGCGGAAUUCCCGGUGUAGCGGUGGAAUGCGUAGAUAUCGGGAGGAACACCAGUGGCGAAGGCGGCCUACUGGGCACCAACUGACGCUGAGGCUCGAAAGUGUGGGUAGCAAACAGGAUUAGAUACCCUGGUAGUCCACACCGUAAACGAUGAUUACUAGGUGUUGGAGGAUUGACCCCUUCAGUGCCGCAGUUAACACAAUAAGUAAUCCACCUGGGGAGUACGACCGCAAGGUUGAAACUCAAAGGAAUUGACGGGGGCCCGCACAAGCAGUGGAGUAUGUGGUUUAAUUCGACGCAACGCGAAGAACCUUACCAAGUCUUGACAUCCUGCGACGCWCAUAGAAAYAUGUGUUUCCUUCGGRACGCAGAGACAGGUGGUGCAUGGUUGUCGUCAGCUCGUGUCGUGAGAUGUUGGGUUAAGUCCCGCAACGAGCGCAACCCUUAUGGUCAGUUACUACGCAAGAGGACUCUGGCCGGACU